AUUCAAGGGGUGACUGCCACUAGGGAAGGAUCUCUUUUUAGAGAUUCGUCCUUUUGGAGUUUUCUACUGUGAGCCUAGGACGUGGGUCAGACAAUCUCCAUAUUGGCUGAGUUUUGGGCAUUUCACAGUGUCAGAAUUCUGGCUCAAGCUAAGGCAGCCUCAUCAAAUAUUCAAUACCCAGGAGUACACUGAUCACUCUGCGUUGGAUGUUUUUCUCCAUUCCCGUUUCUUCUCCUGCACCAGAUUUCAUGAGCUUCUUCCCAUGCCAUGCGUCCUGACAGGAGCAACAAAUUCCUGUGACAGGAGUAGGUAGGGAGUAAAUAAAAUAACAAGGAAGAACAUCAGGAGCCACAAUUAAGUCUUCCUUUCAUCUUCAACUCUGAGAUCAGAUGUCACAGCUACUGGUCGAAGGAAAGAAGAUUGGAGAACAGAAGGUUGGGACAAUUUAAAAUCCCAAUCACCUACUUUGUAACCAGAACACUGCCGCUCCACUGUGGUUCACUGCCUGGCCAUUAUGUCAGUGUUGUUAGGUAGAUUCAAAGCUAGUGUAAAUACACGCAGCACCAGCAGAUUCAAAGGAGCAAUCAGCUAGGAGAUAAGGAGAAUUUGGACUUUGGUGAUCUAAUUUCAUAAAGGUUUUCAGGCACUCAGAGAGAAACCUUUCAUUAUUAUUCUUUCUCAGUGGCUGUAUUUUGUAUUUAUACUAGCAGAAAAAAAUUGAAUCCCACAAAACUCUUGCUCAGCAAGAAAAAUAACCAUCAAAGAAGUUCCAGUUGUUUUGAGAUUCUUUUUAUUUUCUAUUAAUAGUUAUCCUUCUAGUAUUGUGAUUUAGUCUUAGAAGUAAUGGAAGCAAUAGGAAGUCAGUUGUAUGUAAGAGGGAGCUGGGAUAGUUUGAGGCAAACCCACAGAGAAGAAGAAAUGCCCUAGCUUGCUGCUGAGGAAGGAUGAAUAGUAUCCUAGAAAAUUAAAAGCAAAUCUUGAAGUCAUGAUAUUUGGCAGUAUAGUAAUGGAGAGAGAGCUGGAGAGUGUAGGUGGAACUGCUGCAGAAAUAUCUGUUCUUGGUUAAAAAUGAAUAAUUCAAUAGAGGACUCCUUACAGUUCACACUUAUAGAGGAAAACUAAAAAGUGCAAUCCGGGUUUGUAUGUCCCAAAGGUAGAAAAAAUAGCAGGAAAAAGCCUCUUUUAGAAAAUAUUUUUAAUUUUGUUGUAGGGAAACUUAUGUCACAGCUUGAACUGAUGAUUGAGCACCUGGUGGAGGGAGUGGCUGGCCCUGGAAACUCAGGUGCAGGCAAUUCACCUGUGUUUCCCAUGUGACCAGAGCUCUCCAGGCUCAUUUAAGGAUUAGUCUCUAAAGGGAGAAUAUCUCCUAAUUGAAGGUUACUUCACGAGGAGGAGUGUUCUAUAGCUAGAGACCUUCUUUAACACUUGGGUGGGUCAACGUUUUUUUAUAUGUGAUCAUUGAUUUUCUUGAAGAUGCUUUGCUUGAUAAUGCAAAGAAAUUAUCAGAAGCAGUUUCAUUGCUUCUAAGGACUAACUCUCAUGGAUGUUGUGUGUCUUGGUUCACGAUAUCUUACUGUAUAUACUGCUUAGGGCUGAAAUGUUGCCAAGGUUCAGCCCCAGUUUUCCAGAGCAACAGUAUGAGUAACUCUUACAUCUUGAAUUCUGGAUGUAUUUUUAUCUAUUGAGUCCUGAGAAGUCUUCACUGGAGCUGGUGACCGACCUGCUCCCUAUCUCCAGGCACCUUUCUUUCUUCUAACAUUCCUUGGGAUUCAGAUAUUACUAAAAGAGAGGCCUUCUCUACACCUUCCUGGAACAGGAGAUUGGUAAGCAUUGUUUUCAUUUCCCUUUACUUUCUAUUCUGCUCUAUUUCUGAGAAUCU